GUAUGUGGAUGGUGUUCAGCACCAAGGACAGGUGUGUUUGCCUGUAUGUGGCUGGUGUUCAGCACCAAGGACAGGUCUGUUUGCUU
rnacentral:pre_miRNA from 1 species